CUCUCUCUGGCCGUCUAUCUGCGUCUGUCUCCCGGUCCGUCCCUCUGCCCGUCCGUGUGUCUCUCCGCCUCAGUCCUGCUGCCCGUCUCUCUUUCUGCCCGUCUGUCUCUCCGGAGCCUCUCUGUCAGGAUUACAUGGUGUCAGGUUGGCCAACAUGGACACCGGUGGUGGGGAAACAAAAUGUUCCUCUCUGCACAAAGCCGCUCUAAUCCCUCAUCCCCCCCCCCCACCCACACACACACACACACAGCAGAACCUGAUUACAGAAAGCUGGUGAACGGGCAUUAGGACAGACAGACAGGACAGCACUGCAUCUCUCUGUGCUGGCUGAUUAACUGACUGAUUAGUUGAUUGGCUUUUUAACUCACUGACUUUGCUAACUGACCCAGUUUACCUGUUUUCUAAUUGGCUGAUUUGCUGCUGUCCAGGUGAGUGAAAGCCUGGCUGACUGCCUGUCUGAUUCAAUGACUCGAUAACUUAAGCCAGUGGCGCUCGAGCCUGAUGGCCAGUUAUUUAGUCAUCUAGUCAAGUAACUGCUGACUGUCUCACUUUUAGACCUGAGAAAACACGACCACAGUUAGCAAGUUACACGUCAUUAUUACGCCUCGAUAAAGCCAAUGCCAUCAGCUCAACAGCCCACAAUAAAUCAAUGGUUCAGUGUUGUAUUUGUUGAAACCGUUUGAAAGAGUGUUCAUGUUUGUAUCGAGCAGUGUUACUAUUAUGUUGUCUUCUCUCUGUCAUAUAAAUGUCAGUAUGUGAAGCAAAUUAAAUGAAAUGUUUAAUGUUAAAGAAUUAUUUUCUGCUUAUUGAAGUUUACAUUUCUUAAUCGUUGUCAUGUUAAACAUUUCUCCUCCUGUGUACGUCACUCAGAACGGUCAAAUAAUUUAGUCUUGAACCUGAAGAUGAAAAUAAACAAAUAGUUUGGAGUCGAUUGAUCAUGGUCCACCAUCAACAUUAUGACUCCACUGAUCAAACAUGUAACUUGUUUAAUGUUGUAGUGCUAUAAAUCUUGUAUUUGAGUUUUAAUGGUCUUUCUUUUUUCUGUUCUGUCAUUUCAGCCUUAACCGCCUACACGUACCUCACCAUCUUUGACCUGUUCAGUUUGAUCACAUGUCUCAUCAGCUCCUGGGUGAGCAUGAAGAAACCAAGUCAGGUGUACUCGUUUGGGUUUGAUCGACUGGAGGUUGUGGCUGUUUUUGCCUCCACUGUUCUCAUCCAGCUGGGAGCCUUGUUCAUCCUGAAGGAGAGGUGCGUAUGUCUCCCCAACACAAACACACUUACUCACAAAUCAGAGAUGUCGACCGUAAAGGACACAAUGAUGGACAAGAUAUGCGUAUAGAUUUUUUUUUUUGGGGAUAAUUUAAGUCACUAUUUAGAGACGGAUUAAAGACAGGGCAUGCCAGAUUUUAAAGCCAACCGAAUAACCAGUGACAUCCUGUCCCUUCAGGCGUCCCUCCAGUCCACUGCCCCAAAAUCAUCAUUACAAACAUCAACAACAAACUUGUCUAUUGUUCAUACUCACGGGUAAAAGCUUGCAGCUUCCACAAAAGAUUCUUUUCUUUUGUCAUAACAAUUGAUUCAUUGAUUGCUUUUGGGGAGUAAAGAGAAUUUCAUCCAAAAUAUUGAACGUCUUUGAAGAAUUACCAACCCCGGCUUUAAGGUCCCAAGUCUCUGUUUUUUUGUCUACAUCUCUUCCUUUGUCUCAUUCAUUCUGUCUCUCUCGAUUAAAAUUUCAAUUAUUUUCUGAGCGUGACUCAGCGCAGCAACAGAAUUUGAUAUUUCCAAAGCAAUACACAAAGUAUUUCCAAUUGUUUCUUUCUUUUGUCUUUUGUUUUUUUUCUUCCACAUUGUUAGUUUCACCAGCGUGCUUUGCUCCGCUCAGGGUGCAUGUUUUUCUCGACGCUACGUUUCCACCAAACAAUUUAAAAAAUGCAAUAAUUGGACCCCAGGAUAUUCUAAACCAUUCUGCAUAAAUUAUACUUUACUUUGGGUACUUUAAAGUAUAUUUGAUGUUAAUACUUUUGUACUUCAACUAGGUGAUAUUUUGAAUGCAGGACUUUAACUAAUACCAGAGU